rnacentral:rRNA from 1 species
GCUGCGAUAAAUAGUGCGAAUUGCAGACGCAUUGAGCACAAAGAUUUCGAAUGCACAUUGCACCAUUGGGUUGAUUCCCGAUGGUACGUCUGGUUGAGGGUCAAUU